rnacentral:antisense_RNA from 1 species
AAUAACCAAAUAUAACACUUGGGCUAAGAGUCAAGUUGGUAAUUUUUGUAACAUCUCCCCUCCGGGAGCCCAGGUAUCAUAUACAUCUCCAAAAUAAAGAGUCUUGAAUACUAGAAGAAUACCUAACAAAAUUAAGUGAAUACCCAAAAUUGUGGUUAUUUUAUUUAUAUCUUUCCA